rnacentral:misc_RNA from 1 species
UCUCCGUAGGUGAACCUGCGGAAGGAUCAUUACAGAGUUCAUGCCCUCACGGGUAGAUCUCCCACCCUUGAAUAUUUAUACCUUAGUUGCUUUGGCAGGCCGUGGAAACACCAUGGGCUCCGGCUUAUGCGUGCCUGCCAGAGGAAACAAACUCUGUUUUUAGUGAUGUCUGAGUACUAUAUAAUAGUUAAAACUUUCAACAACGGAUCUCUUGGUUCUG